rnacentral:misc_RNA from 1 species
GGAUUACCCGCCCUCCCUUCUAAACUCUGUCUUUGCAUUGUCUAUUAGGUAGUUUUUGCUUGAUUACUUCUUAUCUUUUCAGGGGUGGAUCUAGUGGCAUAAGUUGAGCUACUUCUUUGCCAUAGUUGUUCUCCUCAUGCUGCUUAAAACUCGUAUUUUUUCCUGUAGGAGCUUACUUUUCAGUUUUUGUUGAACUCCAUGUUUUUUGUUUUCUUUUGAUUUUGCUGCAUAUACUUGAUGCUUAUUAAUG